UACGUAGGUGACAAGCGUUGUCCGGAUUUACUGGGCGUAAAGAGCGCGCAGGCGGUCGAUCAAGUCGAGUGUGAAAGCCCCCGGCUCAACUGGGGAGGGUCAUUCGAUACUGAUCGACUCGAAGGCAGGAGAGGGUAGUGGAAUUCCCGGUAUAGUGGUGAAAUGCGUAGAUAUCGGGAGGAACACCAGUGGCGAAGGGCGAACUACCUGGCCUGUUCUUGACGCUGAGGCGCGAAAGCUAGGGGAGCAAACGGGG
rnacentral:rRNA from 1 species